AAGCAAAGAGAGAACGGAGAGACCGAACACAAAAGACCACGAAGCGGAAGCGCAGCCGCAGACCGCCGCCGGCGCACGACAUGUCUCGACGGCGGCGUGGAGGCUCCGAUUCGGACGGCGAGGACGAUAGCUUCCUCUACCGCUACCCCCUCCCAUCCGUCGCCGCCUCAGAGGGUGGAGGCGGCAAACCACGGGGCGGAGGCGGGGGCUCGGGCGGCCUCGCGCCGUCCAAAUCCACCGUCUACGUGUCCAACCUGGACUUCGCGCUCACCAACUCCGACCUCCACCUCCUCUUCUCCCGAUUCGGCCGCGUCGCGCGCGUCACUGUCCUCAAGGACCGUGAAUCCCGCCGCAGCCGCGGCGUCGCCUUCGUCCUCUUCGUCAGCCGGGAGGACGCCGCGGCCGCGGCCGCCGAGAUGCACGGCAAGGUGCUCAACGGGCGCACGCUCUCUGCCUCCAUCGCGGCCGAUAACGGCCGCGCCGCGGAGUUCAUCCGACGCCGCGUGUAUCGGGACAAGUCGCGGUGCUACGAGUGCGGCGAGGAGGGUCACCUCUCGUACGAGUGCCCCCGAAACCAGCUCGGGCCCCGCGAGAGGCCCGCACCGUCUAAGAAGUCGCGCCGCGGCGGCGGCGGCGGCGGCGGCGGGCGUGGUCGCGGUCGCGGGGGCCAGGCUGAUUGGCAUUCGGAUGAUGAUGAGGAUGCUGCUGCCGCCGUGGCGUUCGAGGAUGACAAGUGGGCGUCGGUGGUGGAUACAAGGGAAGUGGAGGAGAAGGCGGCUGGGAAGGGAGAAGGAAUGGGAAAGGCGGCGAGGAGGGAGAAGAGGAAAUGCUACUUCAGUGACGAGAGUGACGAGGACGACGACUAAUCUUCAGUCUAAUUAUUCGUCUGAACAACAUCCCUGGUUUGGCCACUAUGACUCAUGGAUAAAAUGGCUAUCCAGAAAAGAAAUGGUUAAUCAAAUGCUUAUGAGAACUGCUGGUCAUUAUGCUUAUAUUGUGUCAUGGGCAUAAUAGGGAGCGACAGGCAACAGCCAGGCUGGGAUAAGGCUAGAGAAUAAGAUUGAGAUGAGCUGGGAUAAGGUUAGAGAAUAAGAUUGAAAUGAGAGAAUUGUGGAGAGUUGGUUAGCAUCAGAUAAGUCCAAGAAAGUAGGAGUUAGUUGAGAGUUUGUAGGAGAAGUUGGUUAGCCAUAGGGCUAUUUAUAAGCCGCAUGGCAGCAGGGAAUAAAUCAAGCAAGAUCAUUAUCAAACCAAUCUCUCUCUCUUGCAAUGACCCUCUCAAGCGCCUAGGGC
rnacentral:misc_RNA from 1 species